ensembl:lncRNA
UUCAUGGUUUACUUUAGGUUUAUUAAAGAUCACUUUGUAGUUUCUUGGAGGUUCUGCUGAUCAGUUCCACCUGCAGAAACAAACACAGCAGUCAGUCCCUGAACCAGCAGCUUCUUCUACACUCCAUGUUCCAGCUGCUUCUUACCUCCUUAGACCUUGGUUCCAGUUCCUGUUCCAGGUCCUUGGCUGGGAUCUCCCGGGUUCACCGGAGAGAAAAACGGGCCAAAGUCAUCUGGGGAGUAUUUAGAGUGGGAGAGGAGUUCUCUGGCUCGCUGGUAGCCAUUACUGGACUGGACGAUGUAGGACGUAGGACCACGAACAACCAAUGGGAAGGGGUCGGUGGGAAUGUUAUCAGGGAUCCAGACUGAGGGGUCUGGGAGACGGACAAACCUUGGUCCUUGGCUGGGAUCUCCUGGGUUCACCGGAGAGUAAAACGGGCCAAAGUCAUCUGGGGAGUAUUUAGAGUGGGAGAGGAGUUCUCUGGCUCGCUGGUAGCCGUUACUGGACUGGACGAUGUAGGACGUAGGACCACGAACAACCAAUGGGAAGGGGUCGGUGGGAAUGUUAUCAGGGAUCCAGACUGAGGGGUCUGGGAGACGGACAAACCUUGGUCUCAAGUCCUUGGCUGGGAUCUCCUGGGUUCACUGGAGAGAAAAACGGGCCAAAGUCAUCUGGGGAGUAUUUAGAGUGGGAGAGGAGUUCUCUGGCUCGCUGGUAGCCGUUACUGGACUGGACGAUGUAGGACGUAGGACCACGAACAACCAAUGGGAAGGGGUCUGUGGGAAUGUUAUCAGGGAUCCAGACUGAGGGGUCUGGGAGACGGACAAACCUUGGUCUCAAGUCAUUUAUAUCGUAGGAGAACCCCUGUGGGUAGUUAAUCAAAGGAGUAAAUCCUGCAGAUCCAAAGGGCAAAGAACUGCUGAAGAAACCAGAGCCUCCUGAACCACCAGAUCCCCCAGAGCCUCCAGAACCACCAAAUCCCCCAGAACCACCAGAGCCAGCUCCUCCUCCAGUUCCUCCACCAGCUCCUCCAGAACCUGUUUGACCUGAAUCCAGACACAAACCAACAUGUUCACGGCUCUGAUCCACUCAUGUGGACACCAGCAGCUAAAUAAAUCCACAUCCAGCUGCUGGAGCUGCCUUCAGACACGUUGAACUUCAUUUAAAGCUGCUUCAGGUCAACAUGUCUGCAGACUCACCUUUACUUAGAAAAGGGUAACAAGCUCCAGAGCUGAGGAGCAGGAAGCAGAUCCAGGAGACCCUGUGGAGAGCAGAAAGCAGCCUGUAAACAGCAGCACAUGGAAGCCCACCUGCAGCAUGAAGCGCAGCAGCUCACCUGAGAACAGAUUCCAGCAGCAUGUCCAGCUGUGAGAAGAAGCCGAGGCCACAGAGUUCAGCUCCAGCAGCCUCCUCACUGCUGAUCAACCUGCUGGAGCUGAACUCUGUGGCCUCGGCUUCUUCUCACAGCUGGACAUGCUGCUGGAAUCUGUUCUCAGGGUCUUCUGGAUCUGCUUCCUGCUCCUCAGCUCUGGAGCUUGUUACCCUUUUCUAAUUAAAGGUCAAACAGGUUCUGGAGGAGCUGGUGGAGGAACUGGAGGAGCUGGUGGAGGAGCUGGUGCUGGUGGUUCUGGGGGAUCUGGUGGUUCUGGAGGAUCUGGUGGUUCAGGAGGCUCUGGUUUCUUCAGCAGUUCUUUGCCCUUUGGAUCUGCAGGAUUUACUCCUUUGAUUAACUACCCACAGGGGUUCUCCUACGAUAUAAAUGACUUGAGACCAAGGUUUGUCCGUCUCCCAGACCCCUCAGUCUGGAUCCCUGAUAACAUUCCCACCGACCCCUUCCCAUUGGUUGUUCGUGGUCCUACGUCCUACAUCGUCCAGUCUAGUAACGGCUACCAGCGAGCCAGAGAACUCCUCUCCCACUCUAAAUACUCCCCAGAUGACUUUGGCCCGUUUUUCUCUCCGGUGAACCCAGGAGAUCCCAGCCAAGGACCUGGACCUGGAACCGGAACCAAGGUCUAAGGAGGUGGAACUGAUCAGCAGAACCUCCAAGAAACUACGACGUAACCUUUAAUAAACCUUAAGUAAACAUGAAUCUGAGUAUCUGUGCUUGACUUUAACGCCAUUGAUUUAAACUGGUUUAGUUUGACUUUAAACAGCUGGUUUUCUUAAACUAUCAAGCAGCCGUUCCAAUAAUUCUGGCUGCUGUAGUUUAAAGUCUCUCAGGUGUUUCUCCUGCAUCUUAUCAGCUCAGAGGUAAGAAAAUGGAGGAUGACCUGGAACAAAUGACACCGUGUCUGGGACCAAAUGCAGCUAUAGUGAAGAACCUGACAGUAAAGUGACUCUAAAGCGUCUUGUGUAGAUGAGUAGUUCUACUGAAUUUGUUCUGACCAUUAAACCCUAGACCUCUCCUUCCUUGGUUGGAGUUCUGUUCUCAGCUGAUCUAGUAAACUGGAAUUGUGACCAAAGUAAACCAUGAAUCUGAGUUUGUCUGACUUGAACUUUACUGAAGGUUUAAAUGAGUUUUAACUCUUUAAACGGUUGGUUUUCUUCAAUUCUCCUGAAGUUAUCUUUAACUGGCUGCUCCUGUAGUUUAACAUUGCCAUGAAGGUAUUUGAGCUACAAAUCAGGAGAACAAGGGUGAAAACUCUGCUUUUCUGGGACCAAAUAAAGCAGUUCGCUUAAAAGUGAUGUUUUUCUGUGUAGAUUAAUGGACUAAAGUGGUUUUUCC